rnacentral:rRNA from 1 species
GGGGUAAUGGCCUACCAAGGCGACGACGGGUAGCCGGCCUGAGAGGGCGACCGGCCACACUGGGACUGAGACACGGCCCAGACUCCUACGGGAGGCAGCAGUGGGGAAUAUUGCACAAUGGGCGCAAGCCUGAUGCAGCGACGCCGCGUGAGGGAUGACGGCCUUCGGGUUGUAAACCUCUUUCAGCAGGGAAGAAGCGCAAGUGACGGUACCUGCAGAAGAAGCGCCGGCUAACUACGUGCCAGCAGCCGCGGUAAUACGUAGGGCGCAAGCGUUGUCCGGAAUUAUUGGGCGUAAAGAGCUCGUAGGCGGCUUGUCGCGUCGGAUGUGAAAGCCCGGGGCUUAACCCCGGGUCUGCAUUCGAUACGGGCAGGCUAGAGUUCGGUAGGGGAGAUCGGAAUUCCUGGUGUAGCGGUGAAAUGCGCAGAUAUCAGGAGGAACACCGGUGGCGAAGGCGGAUCUCUGGGCCGAUACUGACGCUGAGGAGCGAAAGCGUGGGGAGCGAACAGGAUUAGAU